AUGCUGUAUGUAAGAAGACAUCUUCCUUGCAGGGAAUGGUUAGACCACCCAUUGGAUGAGAGUAACCAAAUUCCUCUUCAGCUUGACUCACCUUUUGGAACUUUCACUUCUUUUCUAGAAGAUUGGCUUGCACUAAAUGAUGAUCGUCUAAUACCAGAGGCAUCUAAGUCAACUCCAUGUGAUCUCUCAUCUCAUGGUGCCCAUCAUUUUAUCAAUGAUUUCUCUAGCAAAGGGAUUUGA
rnacentral:lncRNA from 1 species